ACAGCCUCCCCAUCUCCCAGAGCACCCGGCCAGCUGCUCCCACUCCUACCUCGCCGGCCCCACGAGGCUGCUCCGGGCGUGGUUUCCAGCCUGCUCCCUCCGCACCCGGGCCACCUGCCCCUGACAGUGUCAAUAUUGAUGCCCCCACCCCCCCGCCAGGCGCCCGCUUUGGGGGGGGCAGGGAGCGGGGGAAGGGCACCGGGAGACGCGAACAGCUCCCAGAUUUUCGACUCAAUUGCUGCGAGGAGAGAUGAGAAAUUGCCUUUCUGACCUAAAACCGGAGUUCACAGCUGCACUUCAUUACGGACUCCUCCAGGCGGCCCUGGGAGAGAUGCGGCUCGGGAAGGGCUCACCUGUUAGCAGCAGCUGUGCCUGCCUCUCGCACGAGCACGUUGGUGGUUUCCUGCCCUGGGCAGCACGGGGCAGGCUGCCAGCGGUGCCCCCAAAGCCCCCCUCCCCCUCCAGUUUGCAUGAACUCCGUGGUGGAGGGAGAAAGAGGCACCAGAUCAGCGAGUAGGAGGGGGAAGAAAUGGCCGCAGGUCUGGGUCUCACGCUCUUUAGAAGGCACCAGAAGGCAAGGGGUUCAUGUUCCCUCUGGGGUUCCACCUCAUUUCUCCGGUCUCAUGCACGCAUCGCUGGGCGAACAUGAGCACGGCGGGCACCUAGAGCAUCUCUGGGUAUACAGUAAGUGCUCAGUAAGUGCUCUCUUCCUUCCUCCCGUGCUGCUGGCCUCUCUGUGCUUCUGAGAUGCCACCGUGCAGCAUCUGACAGUCACGGAAAGGGCACAGGCUCCAGAGGACCAGGGGCUCUCUACUCCGGCUGCACAUGAGAAUCCCAUCUGUGGAGCUUGCGGAAAGACCCAGAAGCUUGCUGCAGGACCCCUGAGGUCGAGCCCAGAAGGCCGCGGCCAAGGCAGGAGCAAAGGAGCCCAGAGCCGGCUGCGGAAGGAGCGCCGGGCUUCGGAGCCAGCCUCUCUAACCGUGGAGCGGCCCUGGCCUUGCCUGCCAGCUGUGCUCCUCCCUCUGCCUCGAGGACUUGCACUCAGGUCCCCAGCGCUGGGACGUGCCGGCCUCAGGGUACUGGGCUCUGCUCCCCAAGUGUGCCCCAGCGGGAGAGAGCACGUCAGCCUGGCCGUGAGAAGAGGUGUGACAGCACGCAAGUCCCUUCUCUGGAACUUUGCUGACCAUGCUGAGUGCAGACCGUUUCUGAGCUGUACCGGGGAAGCUGCGUCCCCUCCCCCUCCUCCACGGUCGGGCCUCACACCUAAAGUCCUGUCUCACUGCA